CCACAUGCCCCGAAUCACGUUCUUCCAUCCUCUUCCUUGUUGGUGGCCUCUUAUCACCUUCAUAAGUGGGUUAGUCCCGCACACUAACUCCAUGGGAACCGGGACUUUUUGACGAAGAGCUCGGUUGAACCGCAAAGAGGAGGAAGAUUUGUGACAGCGCACAAGGAAGGACACGGCUGCUCGUUACACGACAGUUCGUGUGGGUAGACCGUGCUUGUCGGCAGUGUGGCGAACCGAACCGCAGCCUCUUCUACAGUUGUUUUUUUGACGGAGAAUGUAUCAUACUCACCUCUACUCAAUGAACCUACCUUGAGCUCAUUAUUUUGUUGUGGUUUUCGGCGUCAAAGCGACAGAGAUGGAAAGCAAGUUAGCCAGCACUACUCCAUCUUCCUCUUCAUUUGAUAUGCAGCUACUGACAUAACCAGUGCAGCGGAAGAUGGACAUCCAGAGUGGCAUACAAAAGGCAGUGGAGCCCCUCCCUACCUCUCUCCCCUCCUCCCCUCAACAGUCGGGUGCCCAUCAGCAGAGCGAGCCGGAGGACAGCCAGGCAGAGCAGAGCGCCAGGCCCACCGCUGACAACCACAGCAAGGACACCCAGCCAGCCGCCGGCCACCGAGACGACAAAAAAUAUUUCAGUGUGGAGUCGAUUGAUGGGACUAUGUUUCAUGAAGCCAUUAGAAGACUGUUGCUGACUGAGAGGAGGGGCUGUCAGGAGAAACACUUUCACAUCCAAGGUUACAGAUGGAGAGACAGAGAAGUUCGUCAUAAGGUGGCUGCAGCUUGCACCAGACAGAGACGGACACAGGAAGGAGAGGACCGAACACAGCAAGGAAAGGGCAGAUAGACCCCAAGAGAAAUAGAUACAUUGACAUACACGCAUACAUACAUGGGAUAAAGGGAUGAACACUGACUCUUUGUACAUUAUCUGGAAAUAAUGGACGACUUGGUACUGCCCGAGUUUAUUAGUUCCAAGUAAUGUACAGAGCGGAGGCGUUUAUCCCGCUUAUUCCACGGUUGCCAAAGAAAACAAGACCACAUUUACUGGUAAAAAUGUACAUGUUUUCUUUGAGAUUAGAAUUUUGAUAAGUAAAUUCAUGCUAUUUCAUCCUUCCCGUUGUGCUGUCGGUUCGGUUGAUAGAGAAGCGGACUUGUUGUUCAUUCGAUUAAUUUGAUUGCUAUGCAGGCUGGCAAUGUUCUUAUCCCUUACUUGCUAGGUAGCCAACUAUGGCUAACCCAGUCGCUUCAACUAUGCACAGAAUAACAUCAAAGUAGCUGCAUUAGCGUUUUUUUUAAGCUGUUUUCUAGUGACAUUUAUUUGGAUAUGACCAUGCUACUGUACCUAAGUAGUACUUGUUGAGGGAUGACACGCACUCAAAAGUAAAUUUCAUAUAUUUAAAUAAAAAAGGUAAAAUGAGAAAAUGUCAUGUCUUUUUUUAUGCUUAUGUUGUUCAUAGUUCGGUUAAUAGCUGCAAUAUUACUUCCUCAAUUUAACAUCAUUAUUCUUUUUUGAGUGUGUGUGUGGGGUGGGGGGUUGAAUCAAGUGGAUCUGGGCCAAUUCUGGCCCUAAAAUGGCAGCUUUGGCUUAGUUCAGGCUGCCAGAUCUGGGCCGAAUUACUCUGGCCUAGUCUGCCGUCAUUCAUUUCGGACUCGGGCGAAAUCCAGCUUCCAGACCCAGGCCAGCAGUUUUAGAUCUGGCAUGUCAGAAUCAGGCCAGAUGUGGGCCAGACAUUUUUGUUGUUAGUGAGAGGGGCUUGGUGUGUGUGUGUAAACCAGAGGAAGAGAAGAAGUAAGAAGUUUCACUCUCACUAAAUUCCGUCCAAAAUAAGUCCAAUGCGUUGCUAUGGGCUUGUUUUGGACCUAACUUGUCACCUGCAUUCCCUCCUUUGGGACAAUGACUCCCAUUGUUAGGGCGGAGUCGUGCAUUUCCUCAUUUUAUACAGAUCUCUGGUCUAAAUGGAAAGAUGCACACAGCACAGGAGCGAAGGAGACGAGAAAACAUGUGGACAAACGUUCAUAAACUCAAACGACUUAAAAACGUGAUUCUUGUAAUACAGGCAUUUGGAAUAUCGUGCAAAAACAUAAAAUUGGAAUUCAUCGAAUUAAAUUGAUAUAUUGCCCAGCCCUACUACAACUAGCUUUUUGCCUCUAUUUUCAUGCUCAGGCUGUCAAAAAAAAUCCCACAAAUAUUCCUGGGCUGAAAGACAGCAUGUAGAAAAAGGUUCUCCGUGUACAGUGUAUUCUGACACAAACAAUAAGCGAGAUGGAAAAAGACCAAGAAAACUCAGAAGGGUUCAGACUUCAGAGUCAAAAGCCUUCAUGUAAUUUUUAUGUGACACACACCAGGGUUUCCAUUAGCCGGUAAAUGCUGGCUUUUGGCCGAUUAAAAAAAAAAAAAACGAAAAGCAGAUAAGUAAAAUUAUUGCCGCUCAAAUUGUAGAGAAAAAUAAAAAACCAUUGCGAAAUAAUGCGUUUUAUUCAUUGAUGGAAAUACCAGUCGAUGUGCUCCAACUUCAAAGGCAAAUAUACUUCAUAGACUAAUAAAGUAAGCUUUCUCUCAAUGAUUAGCCAAAUGUGUUUUAUUUACAUAUCGAAUUUGAUUGUUCAACAUCAGUUUUGGAAUUUCUUCAUUUUGUGGCCACCUAGAGUGUCCUCUUGCCACUGCUGUGGUGCUGAAUCGCAAUGGGAAUGAGGAGUAGGGUGGGACAGCCCAGUCAUGGCUAGAAGGGAUCUAGCUUUUGUCAAAUUAAUGUCAAAUGUAGAUUUUUUUUUAUUUUAGCUAACCCUAACUCUUUUCCUAACCUAAACCUAAUUUUCAACACCCUCUUUUAUACUACCUCUCAGGCUGGGAGAGGGGGGAGCUGGGUGAUAUCAGAGUAAAAUUGAUUACUCACAGAGCACACACCUGCCAGAGCCACAGGUUGUGUGUCAUUUACAUUAAAUGUUUGUCACUUACAGGAGCAAUCAGGGUUAAGUGCCUUGCUCAAGGGUUACUGGCCCAACGCUCUUAACCGAUAGGCUACCUGCCGCCUGCUGUG